UACGUAGGGGGCAAGCGUUGUCCGGAAUCAUUGGGCGUAAAGAGCUCGUAGGCGGUCUGUCGCGUCGGCUGUGAAAUCCCGGAGCUCAACUCCGGGUCUGCAGUCGAUACGGGCAAACUGGAGUACUGCAGGGGAGACUGGAAUUCCUGGUGUAGCGGUGAAAUGCGCAGAUAUCAGGAGGAACACCGGUGGCGAAGGCGGGUCUCUGGGCAGUAACUGACGCUGAGGAGCGAAAGCGUGGGGAGCGAACAGG
rnacentral:rRNA from 1 species